CAGCCGCCGCGGGAAUACGUAUGUCACAAGCGUUAUCCGGGUUUAUUGGGCGUAAAGCGCGUCUAGGUGGUUAUAUAAGUCUGAUGUGAAAAUGCAGGGCUCAACUCUGUAUUGCGUUGGAAACUGUGUAACUAGAGUACUGGAGAGGUAAGCGGAACUACAAGUGUAGAGGUGAAAUUCGCAGAUAUUUGUAGGAAUGCCGAUGGGGAAGCCAGCUUACUGGACAGAUACUGACGCUAAAGCGCGAAAGCGUGGGUAGCAAACAGGAUUAGAUACCCCUGUAGUCCCUGUCUCUUAUACA
rnacentral:rRNA from 1 species